AUACGUAGGGGGCGAGCGUUAUCCGGAUUCGCUGGGUGUAAAGGGAGCGUAGACGGAUUGUCAAGCCAGAUGUGAAAAUCCGGGGCUCAACCCCGGACCUGCAUUUGGAACUGAUGGACUAGAGGACCGGGAGGGCAGGCGGAAUUCCUGGUGUAGCGGUGAAAUGCGUAGAUAUCAGGAGGAAACCCGGUGGCGAAGGCGGCCUGCUGGACGGAUACUGACGUUGAGGCUCGAAAGCGUGGGGAGCAAACAGGAUUAGAUCCCCUGGUAUUCCACGCCGUAAACGAUGAAUACUAGGUGUCAGGCGUCAAAGACGUGUGGUGCCGAAGCGAACGCAUUAAGUAUUCCGCCUGGGGAGUACGGCCGCAAGAAUGAAACUCAAAGGAAUUGACGGGG
rnacentral:rRNA from 1 species